rnacentral:ncRNA from 1 species
GUGUGCAUGAACCGGUGUUCGUUGUCCUCGAUUGUCUUCGUCCUGCAUCCAACUCUGCCUCCUCGUGCGGGGGAUGGUCCAGAGAGAUGCCAGAUGCAUUGAGGCUUCGUUCUGAAAUUAUACGGUCCGAACUUGAUCUGGAUAAUACCAGCGAAAGGAUCAUGCUUCCCCCUUCC